CAUUGUGUGCAUUGUGUUUUGUUUUCUUUUAUUGAAAUACAGUAAAUAGCUCUGGGACACCAAUAACAGCAGAUGCAGUAUGUUUACCGUGCACAAAGACACAGGCAGAGUGUGAUCACACAGAGACCAGUAUGGGAACAUCUUCAAAUUUACCAAUGGAUUGGUGGGAAAUUUUAUUGAUAGUUGUAGCGGUCGUAGUAUUAUCAAUAAUAGUGGCCAUCAUAAUUCGACAUGUAUAUACACACCACAAAGUUUCAAAAAUAGGGGUACAGACAUAAGAUAAGAUUCUGUAAUCACGACAUCACCACGAAAAACACCAGUAACAGCAGGACGGUUAAGUUUCAUUGACGAGUGAAUAUGAAACUGUAUAAUACACCAUCCUUCAUUACACUUAAUAUCUAUUGAUAUGCAUAUUUAUUUUAUUCUAUGCUGUUAUAUGUUUUCUAUUCAUGCCAAAUAUUUUGCUAUCUUGCCGUCUUUUAUUAAUUGAAUGUUAUUCUACUAAAUAAAAAACAAAAACAAAAAGCCUACAAAAGAAACACAUUUCUGUUCUCUACUUUUGGGACAGCUGCAUUAUUUGACAAUUUUAGGCGAAA